AUUGAACGCUGGCGGAAUGCUUUACACAUGCAAGUCGAACGGCAGCACGGACUUCGGUCUGGUGGCGAGUGGCGAACGGGUGAGUAAUGUAUCGGAACGUGCCCAGUCGUGGGGGAUAACGUAGUGAAAAUUACGCUAAUACCGCAUACGAUCUAUGGAUGAAAGCGGGGGAUCGCAAGACCUCGCGCGAUUGGAGCGGGAGAUAUCAGAUUAGGUAGUUGGUGGGGUAAAGGCCCACCAAGCCAACGAUCUGUAGCUGGUCUGAGCGGACGACCAGCCACACUGGAACUGAGACACGGUCCAGACUCCUACGGGAGGCAGCAGUGGGGAAUUUUGGACAAUGGGCGAAAGCCUGAUCCAGCCAUUCCGCGUGCAGGAUGAAGGCCCUCGGGUUGUAAACUGCUUUUGUACAGAACGAAAAGGUUUCUACUAAUACUAGGAGCUCAUGACGGUACUGUAAGAAUAAGCACCGGCUAACUACGUGCCAGCCGCCGCGGUAA
rnacentral:rRNA from 1 species